rnacentral:rRNA from 1 species
UACGUAGGCAGCGAGCGUUGUUCGGAGUUACUGGGCGUAAAGGGUGUGUAGGCGGUUCUUUAAGUUUGGUGUGAAAUCUCCCGGCUCAACCGGGAGGGUGCGCCGAAUACUGAGGGACUAGAGUACGGGAGAGGAAAGUGGAAUUCCUGGUGUAGCGGUGGAAUGCGUAGAUAUCAGGAGGAACACCGGUGGUGUAGACGGCUUUCUGGACCGUAACUGACGCUGAGACACGAAAGCGUGGGUAGCAAACAGG